CCUUUGUUAAAUAAAUUACAAAGAAUAUUCUCCUUAAACCUUAUGGUUCACAAAUGCAAGCAAAUUUAAUAGUAUAGAUUUCUACUUACGAAAUCUGUGCUAAGAAAAUUAAAGUAAAGGAAAAACGGAGAACGUAGAAUAUAGAGAAGAUUCAUGGUGUACCACUUUUCGCAGGGACGAUGAGCGUGUUUCACCUCAGAAUAAUAUGUUUCAGCACAGUUCAACAUUAGCGGAAUUGAGCAUAUUCAGUGUUAAAUGAGAAAAAUAAUGCUAAUUUGAAUGUUAAGAAAUGUACGCUUACCGGUCAACGGUUUGCAUCUAACCGAAAACGUUUUGCUACAUAGUUAUUUCUAGCCACGUUAUUUAAUAUAAACAAAUUUCAAAUUGAAUUAAGGUUACAUAAUAAGGAAAAAAGACAGCGAUUUCCUUGAGAUAGUUUGUCAAAUAAAAAAGCUUUCCAUACAAGAAUUUGAUUUUAAUCGGUCAGUUUGUAUGGAAACUAUGUGCUUUAUUUGUCCGAUCUGUUUGAAGAUUGUUAUUGUACAAGGACUUGAUUUUAAUCGUUCAGAUUAUAUAGUAGUUAUAUCUUAUAUUGUUCCGAUAUAAACGGUUUUGGCAAGUGAGCAGCCUCUUGGGGAGAAAAAGACGUGUAAAAAAUUAUAGAUCGAUAGCAAAACAUAUUACGAACUACAGCCAGACGAACUGUGAUAAUUUAUGUAUAUACGUUAUUAAUAAUAUUAAAAAAAAUUACAACUAACAAGUAGGGAAGAGCUAAGUUCAAGUAAAACCGAACAUUUCAUAUUCUUGAAUAUGUAGUUUGUCGCCUUCAAAGUAAUAGAUAGUUGUAAUAGAAGUAGAUAUUAUGCAUUUAUACCAGCGUUUUUUUCCAAUACUCAAAGCACUUAUAAAAGUCUUUGUUUAUGAUCGUGUUCAGCUCGUCCUUCGAUACAGUUUUUAUCUCCUCAGUCGUAGCGUAGCGUCGUUCUUUCCUGAGCCACUUCCGUUUUGGGAACAACAAAAAGUCAUAGGGGCCAGUUCUGGUGAAUACGGCACCAUUAAUAUGUUGUUUUUGGUCAAAUAUGAGGUUUGUUCAAAAUGUAUCGCGAAUUUUGAAUUUUCGCGGGCUACGUGUAUCGCAUCUUCACCGACAUCUACUUACCUAAAAGAGUAAGUGCGUUAUGUCUAGGGGUUAUUACUUUAAAUGGGACAAUAUAUAUAUUCAUGAAUAAAUAAACGCUUUUUUAAGAAAUACAAAAUUCGCGAUAUUUUUUGAACAAACCUCGUAUGUUAUACAAACUCAACCGAAGAAGCAAAAUUUAAUACAUUGAGUUGAUGUGCAAAACGUCAACCAGAAGAUCGGAAUUGAUUAUAUUAGGAUAUGAGAUUAGGGCCAAGGAUCAAUUCUAUUUAUAUUCAGCGAUAGACCAAAUAAUUGUUAAAAAAGCUUAUAAAGCAAGUGGAAAGUCGAAAAUCACUACAUAGGGUAUAUUGGGGGCAGAAAAGGGGUGGGCUGAUUGCACUGACUACUGAUUUCGCUCAUUUUCACAUAUUUUCGGCAUUUACCUAUAGAAUAUCGAAUAUUAUACGCUAAGUUAAAUUUGCUAAGAUAUCAUACAUAUUGAGCGACAUAUAAGGUAUGAAGCCAACCAUAAGUUUGAAAACUUUAUAUUAGGUAUAUGGAAAACAGAGGUAGUAUUGAAUCGAUUUAUCUAUUAUUAACAGAAAAAGAUGAUCAAUAAAUUUCAUUAAGGUACCUCACAUACCAUUAUUAAUUUAUAAGGAGUAAAGUCAACCAAAUUUGGAAACUUCUCAUAUUAGUUAUAUGGCAAGUUUUCUUCCGAUUUUAUCCAUUUUAUGCAGAAAGAUACACUGUUAUUGGAAAAAGAGGCUCUCUCAAUUUCAUUUGAAAUCUGAUAUUUGAUAAUCAUUAUAUUAGUAUAUGGGGGCUUGAUCGAUUUUAGGCACAAGGAUGCACUGUUCUUAAAAAGCGAUUUUCUUUGAAUUUUAUAAUGAUAUAUAACAUAUUGACAGACAUAUGCGGUAUAAAAAAAAUAAUUUUACCCAUUCUUGCUACUGAAACAUAUUUUUGCCAGAAAAAGAUGAUCCCUGGGCUUCAUUAAGAUAACUUAUAUAUUGUCUGAUAUAUAUGAUAUAAAAUCGACCGGAACUUUGAAAAUCUUAAUCUUAAGUAAAUGGAGGCUAUGGAAAUCAAACCCAGGACAUAUUACAAGUAUAAUGUAAAAUGAACCAUGAAAAGAUGUUCUCAAGUUUCAUUGUUUAUAUAUGGCAAGAGACUGACCGCUAUUUUUGGCAAAAGGUCAGCUAUUGGCACUUCAGUCCAAAAUCGUUAGAGCUGGUUCACCAUGGUACAUUCAUAAUGAAAAUAUUCAUAAUCAAAUUCCCGUAAUAAGAGAUCUACCAGCAUUCUAAUGGCGACGUACUAAAGAAAUAGGCUCAGCCAUAACUUUGAGUUUGAUUAGUUUUAAAUAUGCAGUUUCAAUAAAUAAAUACUAAAUGAUAGUCGGAUGAAUAUUGAAAUUUUUGUGAUUUUUGUCAAGUUGUCAAUUGUUUGCUUUAUUGGUGAUACCCUUGCGUUUAUGAAUGGAAAUAUUUUCCUAAUUUGUUAUCUAUUAUAUAAAAAUAAGUCGGGUUUUCCUUCCUGACGCUAUAACUCCAGAACGCACGAACCGAUUUCCACGGUUUUGUAUUCGUUGGAAAGGUCUCGGGCUCCGUGAGGUUUAUAGCAAAGGAAAUAUUUUAACAGAAAAGCGGGAAAAUCUUUUUUCACAUACAGCGCCAUCUCUGAUACAUAGCAUGUACUACAAACCAAUAUUUUAAGUAGAUGGCGCCGGUGCGUGAUACAUUGUUUGACAGCUACUCAUUGUUCUCUGCUCAGUUAAUUUCAUGUGACAAACCGGUAUUGUGUUCACUGUGAAAUUGUGAAAAAUAAGUUAUUCGUUCCCUAACAUUUCAAUUGGAAACCAUCAAAUCAAUCACGUGUAUUGUGCAAAUUUUUAUUCAAUUUCAACAACAGGCAUUUGUCUUUAAGGUGUCCAAAAUGCCUAGAGGACGACGUGCCAACAUCGGCCGCCGCACAAGCAUGCAAGCCAGCAACAAGUGUAUUCACAGAACUUAAGCAAAGAAAGACAAAAUAUUAUAUAAUAAGUGAAAAU